rnacentral:misc_RNA from 1 species
GAUGAAGAACGUAGCGAAAUGCGAUAAGUAAUGUGAAUUGCAGAAUUCAGUGAAUCAUCGAAUCUUUGAACGCACAUUGCGCCCGCCAGCAUUCUGGCGGGCAUGCCUGUUCGAGCGUCAUUUCAACCCUCAAGCUCUGCUUGGUGUUGGGGCCCUACGGUUGACGUAGGCCCUUAAAGGUAGUGGCGGACCCUCUCGGAGCCUCCUUUGCGUAGUAACUAACGUCUCGCAUUGGGAUUCGGAGGGACUCUUGCCGUAAAACCCCCAAAUUUUCUAAUGGUUGACCUCGGAUCAGGUAGGAAUACCCGCUGAACUUAAGCAUAUCAAUAAGGAGGA